rnacentral:rRNA from 1 species
GACGAACGCUGGCGGCGUGCUUAACACAUGCAAGUCGAACGGAAAGGCCCUGCUUUUGUGGGGUGCUCGAGUGGCGAACGGGUGAGUAACACGUGAGUAACCUGCCCUUGACUUUGGGAUAACUUCAGGAAACUGGGGCUAAUACCGGAUAGGAGCUCCUGAUGCGUGGUGGGGGUUGGAAAGUUUCGGCGGUUGGGGAUGGACUCGCGGGUUAUCAGCCUGUUGGGGGGGUAGUGGCUUACCAAGGCUUUGACGGAUAGGCCGCCUGGGAGGGCAACCAGGGUCCAUGGGCCUACGGGAGGGAGCAGACGGCAAUCGGGGGCAACGGGGGGAAGCAUGACGGAGUGGGCGGGAGUCUGUGACGAAGGCCUCCGGUUCGGAAAGACCGGCUUUGGGGUAAGAACCGCUUUGGCCGGAAACAAAGACGUAUUGACGGUAACUAGUCAAAAAGCACCGGCUAACUACGUG